rnacentral:misc_RNA from 1 species
GAUGAAGAACGCAGUGAAAUGCGAUAAGUAGUGUGAAUUGCAGAAUUCAGUGAAUCAUCGAAUCUUUGAACGCACAUUGCGCCCCAUGGUAUUCCGUGGGGCAUGCCUGUUCGAGCGUCAUUUACCCCCUCAAGCUCCGCUUGGUGUUGGGCGUCUGUCCCGCUUCGCGCGCGGACUCGCCCCAAAGGUAUUGGCAGCGGUCGUGCCAGCUUCUCGCGCAGCACAUUGCGCUUCUCGAGGCACCGGUGGGCCCGCGUCCAUCAAGCUCACCCCCCCAGUUUGACCUCGGAUCAGGUAGGGAUACCCGCUGAACUUAAGCAUAUCAAUAAGCGGAGA